GGGGGUAUAGCUCAAUUGGCUAGAGCAGUCGCCUGUCGAGCGAAAGGCUGCGAGUUCAAAUCUCGUUACUCCCG
rnacentral:tRNA from 1 species